rnacentral:rRNA from 1 species
CACGUAGGGCGCAAGCGUUGUCCGGAAUUAUUGGGCGUAAAGAGCUCGUAGGCGGUCUGUUGCGUCCGCUGUGAAAACUCGGGGCUUAACCCCGAGCCUGCAGUGGAUACGGGCAGACUAGAGGUAGGUAGGGGAGAAUGGAAUUCCCGGUGUAGCGGUGAAAUGCGCAGAUAUCAGGAGGAACACCGAUUGCGAAGGCAGCUCGCUGGGACGUUACUGACGCUGAGACGCGAAAGCAUGGGGAGCAAACAGG